UUGGAGGGCAAGUCUGGUGCCAGCAGCCGCGGUAAUUCCAGCUCCAAUAGCGUAUAUUAAAGUUGUUGCAGUUAAAAAGCUCGUAGUUGAAUUUCGGGGUUAGUAGGUCGGUCAUGCCUCAGGUAUGCACUGGUCUCACUGAUUCCUCCUUCCUGAUGAGCCGUAAUGCCAUUAAUUUGGUGUUGCGGGGAAUCUGGACUGUUACUUUGAAAAAAUUAGAGUGUUUAAAGCAGGCUAACGCUUGAAUACAUUAGCAUGGAAUAAUGGAAUAGGACGUUCGAUCCUAUUUUGUUGGUUUCUAGGAUUGACGUAAUGAUUAAUAGGGAUAGUUGGGGGCAUUAGUAUUCAAUUGUCAGAGGUGAAAUUCUUGGAUUUAUUGAAGACUAACUACUGCGAAAGCAUUUGCCAAGGAUGUUUUCAUUAAUCAAGAACGAAAGUUAGGGGAUCGAAGACGAUCAGAUACCGUCGUAGUCUUAACCAUAAACUAUGCCGACUAGGGAUCGGCAUGAUGUGAA
rnacentral:rRNA from 1 species